UACGUAGGGUGCAAGCGUUGUCCGGAAUUAUUGGGCGUAAAGAGCUCGUAGGCGGUUUGUCGCGUCUGCUGUGAAAACUCGGGGCUUAACCCCGGGCCUGCAGUGGGUACGGGCAGACUAGAGUGCGGUAGGGGAGACUGGAAUUCCUGGUGUAGCGGUGAAAUGCGCAGAUAUCAGGAGGAACACCGGUGGCGAAGGCGGAUCUCUGGGCCGUAACUGACGCUGAGGAGCGAAAGCGUGGGGAGCGAACAGG
rnacentral:rRNA from 1 species